rnacentral:piRNA from 1 species
UAUCGAUCGAGUGCCCGNACUGCUG